GUCUUGGUGAUUCUAUGGCAGAAUUUUCCCCUUCCAUGUGGGAAACCUGGGUUCAAUUCCUGGCCAAUGCA
rnacentral:tRNA from 1 species